GACGAACGCUGGCGGCGUGCCUAACACAUGCAAGUCGAGCGAAUGAAGUUCCUUCGGGAACGGAUUUAGCGGCGGACGGGUGAGUAACACGUGGGCAACCUGCCUCAUAGAGGGGAAUAGCCUUCCGAAAGGGAGAUUAAUACCGCAUAAGAUUGUAGUACCGCACGGUACAGCAAUUAAAGGAGCAAUCCGCUAUGAGAUGGGCCCGCGGCGCAUUAGCUAGUUGGUGAGGUAACGGCUCACCGAGGCGGCGAUGCGUAGCCGACCUGAGAGGGUGAUCGGCCACAUUGGGACUGAGACACGGCCCAGACUCCUACGGGAGGCAGCAGUGGGGAAUAUUGCACAAUGGGGGAAACCCUGAUGCAGCAACGCCGCGUGAGUGAUGACGGCCUUCGGGUUGUAAAGCUCUGUCUUCAGGGACGAUAAUGACGGUACCUGAGGAGGAAGCCACGGCUAACUACGUGCCAGCAGCCGCCGUAAGAC
rnacentral:rRNA from 1 species